AAACCCUCAAGCCUGGCUUGGUAUUGGGCGACGGGGACUCCCCGCGCCUCUAUUUCGCCGGCUGGCCGUCGUUUCGACUUAGCGUUGUGACACAUGUCGCUGACGACGAAGACGGACCACGCCGUUAAACUCUCUUGAAUGCCUCCGGGCGUUCAGUAAA
rnacentral:misc_RNA from 1 species